rnacentral:lncRNA from 1 species
AUAGGAAGUAAUAGGUAGAAAACUAAAAAAAAGAGGAUUGAUUAUGAAUAUAAGUAAUUUGUUGAAAAAGUUAUAGGUAAAUUUAAUCUACUGUAAUUCAUGUGAAGUUUAGUUUUGUAAGGAUAAUGAAAGGAUGCCGAUAGCAUCACUCAUGAGUAAUUUUUUUAAAAAGGACGAACAGAAACCUCGCCGACCCCGAGAGAUACAGUGCUCAAGUAGGAAAUUUAUACCUCGCCGACCCCGAGAGACGAAUUAAAAAUAGCGAAACUUCCUCGCUGGGUAUGGAAAAUCCUCGCAGCAGUUUUUGACUAGGAUCAAGACUUGACUCCCACCCAAGAAUUAAUUAAAUAUAGAAUCAACAGUCCACAUAAUAAUUAAGUUAAUAACAAAAGUUAUGAUAAUUAAACUACCACUCAGAACUAUAUAUAAAAAAGUCACAAGAGCAUGUCUAGUGUUGCAUUGAUUCAUAGAAUCCGAAAACAAACAAUAACGAAUGAUAUUAUAGAGAGAAUAAUCUCUGUUCCCAGAAAAUGAGGCUGGCUGAGACAAAACAUGAGCUUAGAGAAUAUGGGAACCUUAAAAGAUCGACUCGCCAAUUCAGAGUUAGCAGAGUACUUAUAGCUGCAAAACGUGUGCCGUCUGUGAACAAGAAGAAGAAACCAAUAGCGCAGUGCUGUCGGCUGUGCCAUCUUAUUCAUCAGCUGGAGAAGUAGUAAGUAGUAUUGCAUGCGCUUGCUACUUUUAUCAAUUAAUUUUCAUCUGUUUCUGUUUUGUCGUUUAUUUACGGGGAGUUAAUUUUAGUUUAAUUAGGGCAAAGAGUCAUGCACUCGAAGUAGUACCUACUAGGGAUUGAUUGCCAUCCUCACUUCAAAUCACAUAUCUAACUCUCAUGAUUAGCUCAUGGGCUUUUCUGACCCACUCUUUAAGGUUUGCACGUACGCUUUUCUCCCGUGAGCUUCGCUUUUUUCUAUUUUUAGGGAUCUGGUUGAGAGUUAAGAGUUUCAGCUGCCCAUUUGUCCCAUGGCUUCUGUGUUAUUUUUUACUCGCCCCAUCUCAUGCAUCUGCCUUAUUCCAUGAAUGCUAUAAAUCUUUUUUCAACGCUGUAAAAGUGAUUUGUAAUAUUUUCAAAUAGUAAGUUUCCACAAAAGUCUUGCGCACCUGAGCAUAAUUUUAUAUUUGAUGUGGUGUUCAAUAGAUAUGUCUACUUUGGAGUAAGAGAAAUGGGUGCAUUGAAAACUUCUAUAAAUAAAAUCAAGUUUAUUUUACAAAAAAUGAAGAUGCCGCAUCAUAAAUUUGAUAUGACAAACAAGCACAGUUAUAUAAAUUGUCUGGGUUUGAACAUUCUUCUCUUCAUAUUGGCAGUAAUUCAACUGAGCAGCCAUUUGUUUCCUCUUCCCCUCGGCAUAUCAUCUUCCUACUCAUAAUACCAUUGCUGAUUGGGCUACUUCAAGUGGAUUAUCAGAACAAAAGUGUAUCUCCUUUUGAUACGCAUCCUGUAAAUAUGUGGAUUUCCUUUGGAGCAGCUCUCAUUUAUUGUUUGGGACUAGCCAUUAAUGUGGAAUCAAAAGAACACCAAGCAAGUUAUUCCCAAAUCACGAGCCAUGUAAUUCUCAGCUCAGGUGCUCUUGCUUCGGCCUCGCUAGCAUCAGUUUUCUUCCCACGCUUGCUUGGGUGGAUUUGUUUGGCCUUAUGGACACUUUUGCCUAUUACGUUAGGCAGGCGCUUAAUCAAACCAAUGUACCAAUGGCUCAAAUAUGGAAUUUUGCAAUUAGUUUCCCAAGUCUACAACAGAUUUAAUCGAUUCUGGCGUAAUUGUGUUACCUUGAAGAACAAAAACUUGCCCAUGUAAAUUUCUCGAAUGUUGUAAUUAUGAAUAAUAAUAGAUUAAUUGCUACAAUUACUAGAUAAUACUUCUCUUGUAGUUACAUUGCUAUGUUUUACGUGUUGUUGACUUGAUUUUCUAUUACCAAUUAAAUCAUUAAUUAGUAAUAGAAAAUCAAGUCAACAACACGUAAAACAUAGCAAUGUAGUAAAAAUCAAGAAAAAUAAUGAAUAAGGCGAAUUCGGGCAACGAAAUCAAAUUUUUUUCUUGUAGUAGGUAACGGCUCCAGUUCCCGCGAUAAAAGUGGGUUAAAAUCAGGUGGUAUUAACCGUAUCACCUGAAGCAGAUGAUUCUAGCCAAUCAAGAUUGGCAGAAAUCACGUGAUCAACUGAACGACUUCCAUCACCGUUGACUCGUUAACCGACGAUACCCAAACAAAAAGAGAAAAAGCCAGAAGCGUACGUACAUGUCAAAGAAAAUCUGAAGACGGGCGUCAAAGCUCUGGUCCGAAAUUUGCAACCAGAAUUCACGGAGCUCCUCUUUCGUAAUUUUGCCUAUCUUUUGGCCUCUCCGCCUCGCUAACGCAUCAAAUAUCCCCACCGCAAACUCCUUCGAAUCCACCAUCCCUGCUUUACUAUGAAUUAUUUAAUUACAAUUUAGAAUAGGAAAAAUGAAAUUAUAACGAACAAAUCAGUACAGAGAAGAAAAUGAAUCUGAUUAUGGAUCAGUUUUAAUUACUACGUAACGUACCAAUGCAUUCACCGAAAUCUUCCCUCGCAAGCAACCCGUCCUCAGAUAGCGAUUUGAACGUAGACUCAACUAGUCUCCGGAGCUCCUCUGCGUCAGAGGCGCCUGCCGCUUUGCUAAUGAAUCUCAGACCGUUAAGCGCUCUCUUAGCGCCCGAUCUUGUCCGUUGAAGUUUCGCUUUGAUCCUCCUCUCAUCGCGCGCGGACAUCGUCCGUUCCUCAAUAUCCGGCGACGAUCCCGAUCUUAGCCAGCCGAACUUCUGCCGGCUGCCUUGGCUCGACCUCGACACUCGCGCGACAGCAGUUGGAGUGCUCACACUGCACAACAGGACGGCGUCGUCUUCGAGCUCAAUCGUGAGUUCGACUAAGUCCUGCGCUUGCUCCAGCUGGUUGUCCCUACUCAAAUCGUUGAGAAAAAUCGGCAACAUUGCUCCGCCCACGCCGUAGUCACUUGUCCUUCGCGACUGCGGGUCUUCUCAGUCAUCUGGUAAUUCAUACGUGCGGCUGUAAUUCGAUAGAGACCGCAUUUUUCAGGUUAGUAAUUUUAUUUUAUUUUUUCCGUUAGCUUCUGUUUCUUCUUCUCCCGAACCUUUUUGAAUUGAUUUUACGCGGUUUUCAGGCUCAGAAUUAAUAUUAAAAAACACUAUUAGAUAUACAUAUAUAAGACAAACAAAACAACCUCAAGUCUCAACACCUGCGCUGUGCUGUGCUUCGCCUCGUCGUGCUAAUGAGCUCAUAAGGGUGACAACGGCUCCUCUUAGCGGUUAUAGUUACUCCCCUCGCCGACAUAUAAAGCUAACUUUUCAAAAUUAAUGUACUCCGAAAAGCAAGUAAUAACAAGAAAUUUAAUACUUAAGAAAAUAUAAUCGAAAUCAUGGUCGUUGAGAAGAGAACUACAUGCAACAAGAAAUCUAAUACUUCGUUAUAUUUUUUAAAUUAUAACAUUGAAAUUUUUAGUAAAUACUUGUUAUUGUGGGUUAUAAGCUAAAUUGAUUUAGUCAUAUCUUUUUAUGAUGAAAAACAUGUAAGAUCUAUACUUUUUUUGUCAAUAUUAUUAUUUUAAGUCAUAUUUACUAUAUUUUAUCAACUUUUAUUUCAUAAUUACAUAUAUGGCUUAAAACUACAUAACUUCAACACGAAACAUGACCUAAUUUUUAGAUAUAAUAGGGAUGGCAGAGAAAGCCUACCAACCUGACCUAGAGUGGUUAAAUCAUGUUUUAUAAAUAUUCAAGCCAGGCUCAGGUUUCACUUUAAAACCUUGAGUUUGAUCCAAAUGCUUGAGAAAUGUUUUAAAAAUUAAAAAGAUAUAUAUUAUUUUAAUCAAAACACACUUUUUUCAUAUAUUUAACCCACCCAUGACGUAUAAUUAAAUCCUAUGAACCCAACGAUUAAUGCAUAAUCUGAUAAAAACAAUUUAUAAAUUAUAAAUUUGUAGAACAUAAUAAAAAAUUUUAAAGAAAUGUAAAAUGUCAAAGUUGAAUUUUUCAGAUCGGCCCGGUAAAAGCCCAACCCAACAAACACACAUGCUGGGACCAGACUCAAGCUUUACCAAACUCCGCCUGACAUUUUCCCAUUCCCAUGACACAUGAAAGAUCAGUUUGGGAGUCCGACAGAGGUGGUGUUUUUGCCCUAUGGCGCUUUUAUUCACAAAUCCAGCCCAAUUCGACAAUUACCUUUACCUAUGGCUUAUUGGGCAGAAUUUGUUGGGGGAAUUUAACAUAAAAUUUUUAGGUAUCCAACCUAAAAGAUUAGUCUUUCAAGCAGAGUGACCUACCACCUUAUAAACCCAAACAUCUCUCAUUUAUUAGUCAAUGUGGGACAUAACUCAAUAAUAACUCAACAAUCCCCCCCUCGGAUGAACCACCGCCGGACUUCGAUCCUUUCGUCCAACACACCUGACUUGUUCCACCAUCAAAUUUCGGCUACUAGGGUCUAGUUCUGAUACCAGUUGUUGGGGAGAUUUAGCAUAAGAUUUCUAAAUAUCUAACCCAAAAGAUUAGUCUUUUAAGUGAAGUAACCUACUACCUUAUAAACUCAAACAUCUCCAAUUUACUAGCCAAUGUGAGACACAACUCAACAGAAUUUUCUUAAGCUAAAAAUCUUGAAAAUGACCACGGAAAUCAUUUGUAUAUAUGUUAAUUGUCAUGCUUAAACUGAAAUUCAGAUUAGGCGCUGCUAGAACUUGUUCCAAUAAACAUGAGGUGAUGAUAUAUAAUUCGUUUUUAAUACAUUAAAUUUCCUUUGUGGUUGUGUACAAUGGACAGAACUAGAGCCUCGAGGUGCAAAAGCUUGCCCCAAUCGUAUUUGCAUGACAACCGGCCCCAGCAUGCAUAAAAGUUAUAAACUAUCAACUCCCACUUUAUAAUCUAUCUUACUAUCUUUUAGAAAUACACUUAUUAAAAAUAAAAAUAAAAAUAUUAUUUUUCACUUAUUUUAUUCUCUUUCAAGUAUAAUCAUCACCUCCACCACCCAUCUUCAUCAUCAAGAAGUUUAUUACCAUCAUCAGCACUACCACCAAUAUAUGAUGAGUUUCAAUUUUCGAAAUAAACAAGUGUUGGAUUUUAUUAUUAUUAAUGACAUUGGUUUUGAUUUUACAUGAUCAUCUAAAAAUUUGGUUAAUUUCAAUUUAAUUUGGAAUUUGAGUAGGAGUUGUUAUUUGAUUCAAAUGGUGAAUUAAUUGAAAAAUGAGAGAGAUGGCGAAGUUAAUCUAUUGAGAGCAUGAGCAAGAAUGAAAAAUAUUAUUUAUUAUUUAUUAUUUUUAUUUUUUACUAAAUAUUAAUUUUAAAAUUAAUAUCUAUUUAUUGAAAAAUGGUGCAAGUGAAAUAAAUUAACGGAUUGAAUCCACUCUAUGUUGAAUUGCAAAGCAUGUGGUACGCAUGACGAUGAUUCUGCCCGGAGUGGCCCCCGUUGUGGGCGCAAGCAAAUAAUUUAUCCUACAACUAUCAACAGAGUAAAUAUAUUCAUUAAAUAUUAGUGGGACAACUUCGUAUAAAACAAAAAUUUGAGUGGCACCAUAAUAAAGAAAAUAUAAGUUAGUUUCAACAAAUUCCGAACUUGUAAUGUUAUCUUUAUUUUCUGGAGUGGGAGUAAGGAGUGCGGAUUCUUUCUACUCUAGUGUUUACUUUACUAAAUUGAGGAGGGAUUGGAAAUUCUACUCCGUGGGCCUCACCCAUUUUUGGAGUGGAGAGUGGGAAUGAGACUUCCAUUGGAGGAGGUGAGAGUGGGUCAUUUUCUACCCUUGUUUUUAAUUUAAUUCAAUUUAAUGUUUUAUAAUUAAUAAAAUAAAAUAAAUAAUAUUAUUAUAUUUAACUAAAUAAUAAUUUGCAUUGAUUCUAAAUUAAAAUUAUUUAAAAAUAAUAAUAUUAUAUUAAUAGAGAAUUAAUAAAUAUAAUAUUAUUAUAUUUAUUUUAAAAAUAAUAGUACAAUAUUUAUUUAAUAUUAAUAAUUAAUAAUAAUAAAUAGUUUAUUCUAAGAAAAUAUUAAUUUUUUACUAAAUAAUAUUAUAUUAUUAUUUUAUAUAAUAAUAAAUUUAAUAUAAUUAUAUUAUAUUAAAUAAAAUAAAAUAAUGUUUCAUUUUAUAUUAAAAUUAAUAAAAAAUUGUGAUGUUCAUAAUUAAGAAUAUUAAUAAUUAUUAUAAAUUUACAAAUAUAAUAAAAUAAAUAUUUAUUCAUUAAAUAUAUUUUUUAUUAACUUUGUAAUUAAAAAUUAUAAUUCUUUAAAUACGGAUAAAAUUGUAAUUUAAAACUAUUUACUCUCAAUCCAAGACAAAGUAAACACAUAAAUUGUAUUCUGAUUUCCAUUCCAUGCUUUCAUUCCAGUGUAAGUAAACAGCUUACUCUCACUCCCACUCCCACUCCAUACUCUCAAUCCUAGGAUUCCCACUCCAAUCCAAAAAGUAAACGCUACCUAAAUGUUUUAUAUAGUAGAACCUCUAAAUAAAAAUACUUUAUAUAGGAAUAAUUUCUUCAUAGUAAUAAAAAAUUGUAAUCCCAAUUUGUGACUAGUUAUAAUUAGGAAUAAAUUUUAUAUUAUAAUAAGUUAUAUUUUUUUUAGAUCUCAUCUUAAUAAACUUACCUCUAUAUAGUAAUAAUAUUUUAAAAAAUAUAUAUGCCAUGUUGUAUUAAUUAAGUAAGAUGGAACAAAAUAUCUUUCUAAAGUUACUUAUGUUGGGAAAAUAUGCUCUUUAAAAGCAUAUGUGUUUAUUUAAUUGUAAUAAAUAAUUUUUCUGAUUAAUAAAAUAAAUGAGGUAUUUUAUUCAAAUAUCUUAAUUGCAUUAAUAUUUGUAUUAAAGUCCAUUUAAUCAUAUUAUAUGUAUUUAUGUUAUCACCAUGUGGAUUCACAGAAGACAUAAAUACAAGUUAUCUUAUGAUUAAAUAAAUUUAGUUCGCAGUUGAUAAAUAAAGUUGGGCACUUUAUUUAGGUAUAGACUGUAAUAAAUUCAUUGAAUGAUUUGUCUUAAUCAUGUAUGAAUUUAUUGAUGUAGUACGACUACAUUGAACAGGAUCACAUGUGAGAUUUAAUUAACUUUGUAAUAACUGUCAGACUUAUUAAAUCUCAUAGGCAUUGAUUUUACUGUAAUCUUAAUCUUGAGUUAAUUAUGAUUUCAUGAUUGUAAUUGUUAUUCCAUUUGAGUUACCAAUGGACACGACACAUCCUUGUGGUCAAGAUUACCCGAUAUCUUGGUGGGAGCAAUUAUGAGUAUUGGAGUUAUGGAUUAAUAAUAUAGAAUUUGUACAACACAUCUCUUGAUAGGUUUUCGGCACUUGAUCAUAGAAUUCUCUGGCCAGAGUGUGUCAACAUAUUUAGUAUGUUGAAAAUGAUCAUUAGAGAAAACCAGUAAGGAUCAAGGAAUAAGAUGUUAUUAAAUUGAUUGAACAGUUGAGAUAUCAAUUUAAUUAACGAUGUGGUACAAAGGAUUGUGCAGUAAAGAAAUCAAUGUGGCUUGGGACGAAUUAUUAUUCGAGCAUACAAUUAUGGAAGUCAGUUCCAAUCUUUUAGUAGAGUAGAUUUGGAAUUAAAUAAUUGGGCUAGUUUAAUUACAGGCCUAAUUAUUGUAGCCACUAUUGUAUGUUCCCAAAUGAUCCCCGGGUUAGCUCAUUUAAUUGACUGCACCACUACUGGACUAAUAAGUAAGAUAACUAGCUAUUUGGGUCAAAAGCCUAAAUAUAUCAUUUAGUGGGAGGCUCCAUUUAAUUAGCUUUUGUAUAAGGGGCCUUAUGUUAUUUUACAAGGUGGGUCCCCUAUUGAAAAAGAAAAUAACGUGAGUUUUAUUUAGGGCAUUAUUUGGAGCCUAGGGUUUUCACUAAAGGGAGAUAUAUAAGGCUUAUUUUCUCUAAAGAAAAAAAAAGAAGCCACUUUAUACAGAUCAGAGAAUAAGAUUUUUCUCUCUAUUAUUGAGAGAAAAAUUUUCUCGUGCUAGUUGCUUUUGGUAGUGAUAAAGGCGCCCACACGUCAAGUGCAGACAGAAUUUGAGUCAUAACCUGGAAGAUCAUUGGUGACAGUUCGUGAUCAAACAAGCGUGGUGGUGACGGAUCGUGAUCUAACAGGAGUGGUGGUGGCGGAUCGUGAUCUACGAGCCUAAAUCACUUCAGCGGAAAAAGCCAACUCGGAUUUUCAAGGUACGAUUUCUAGAAUACAAAUUCUUAUAUAUUAUAUGAGAGCGGUCCUUAAAAAGUUUUAUAAAAAAUUUAAAAACCUGAUUUUUCCCCAACAACUUAUGACAAUGAUUUGUUCUUUAAAAUUGUAAUCACAUCUUUCAAUUCGCGAUUAUGUAUUAAUUGGCCAAUAUAGACAUCUUCUUGCUUCUCAACUAUGUUUGUAGCUUCCUAGCAUCAAACUUUUUGUAUUAGUUUUUUGAAACUAUUUUUUUUAUUAAUAUCUAUCCAUUGAAUUUGACUCACUUAUUAAUUUAUUAAUACAUGACAUAAUUUACCUUGUAUAUCACUUGCAUUAGGGAUAAUUAAGUAAAGACAAUAGUUUUUGUACUAUACUUCUAUUGAGUUAUAACCUCUUUAUAAGAAUAAAUUAAUUUCUUCAGUCCCAACAAUAUGACUAUAUAAAGAUUUUAUUGUAGUAUACUUAUUCUAAUAUUAGUAUUUAAAAAAAUGUAAUUAGUAAGAAAUAAGCCAGUGUAUGCCCAGUCCCUUGGCACCAACCCGCGCACAAGUUUCAGUCCUAGCCGCGUGCUAAGUCUUCUUCUCCUCCUUAUUAUUGAGUAAAUAUCGCUCCAAUUUGGUGAGAUAUAUCAACAUUGAAAAAAAGAGAGCAAGAUAUUAAAAAAAAAUCACUUCUUAUACAUGUACAUAUAUAAAUUAUCAGGUGCAAAUGUCUUGAUUUUUUUUUCAUUUUAAAUGUUGAUACACUAAUAAAUUAUAUGGUCCUAUAGUUAACUGAAUAACGACUUUGUUAAAGCACAUGAUUUAUUAGUGAAUUGAAACUGACUCUAUUAAAUUAUAUGGCACAUAAAAAAAAAAAAAGAUGACGCCUGUAUGCGAGUUUGACUAUAUAUAUGUGUGUAUAAAAUUAAUUUUUCUAUUUUAAAAUAAUUCUUUUAUUCUGCAAAAAGCUAAGCGCUUGUUAGUUAUGAUCGCAUAGUCUACAGUCGACCUAUAAUCAAUUAUUCACUUCACAAAUACAGUAAUUCGAAAAAAACAAAAAGUCAAACCAUUUCAUUCUUAGAUUUUUUUUUUUUCACAUUGAAUUUAGUAGUACUAGCAACUUGCUUAACGUCUUCGCAUUAGUUUAUUCAUUUUACUUUGCAAUAAGAAGCAGUAUAAUUAGCUAUGUAUUGCCAGCAACUUCCAGACCGUUACAAAAAAUUAUAUAUAUGUUUUUGUAUGUUAAGACCUGUAAUUAAAAUAAGUCAUAUUAGUAAUAUUCUAAGUUGCUAAGCAAUCUUGACUUAGUUUGCAUAAAUUGACUCCAAUUCACUUUGCAUGGGGAGAGAGAAACACAAAGCGAGUCUCAUUUUGCUUUAGAAUUUAAAUGGAAGCACAUUUGUAAAGGAAAUUUCGCUUAUCAAGUGAACAAGUCGGUGGCCAGAGCUAUCGAAAUUCAAUGUAGGUUUCGGCUUUAUGAUUAUGAUAGGUAUAGGCAACUUACGAAAUAAGCAAAUGAGAAACGCAUAAUUAAGCGCCGCAGCACAAUUGGAGUAGAAGACAUCACAACAUUCCUGAAUUUUUCUUUUUGUUUUGCUUGAAUAUUCUCAAUCAUGUCUAUAAAAUCACCUUAAUUUUGUUAUAAACUAAUAUAUUUGAUAUUGUUUGAGAAAGAGUAUUAAAAGAGUUGGGGAUAUUCAACUGUCACUAUGAGUUAUAAUCUUCAAUAAUAUACAUAAUAGAAUUAAAUUAUAUAAGUUAUGGUGAAGUCAGUUAUUUUAAUCUCUAAAAUUUGUCGGUGAUUUCUGUUUUAAUUUACAUGUUCAAUUAGGAUCUAUUUGCUUUUUUUUUUAAUUUUCCAUUUCAAUUGUCUAUAAUUGAUUGUACAAAAAAUUAGAGUUACAAUAAUUUUAGCGGGUAAUAAGAUAAAUAAUUAUUUUGUAAUAAUAUGCUAUUUUUCAUUAUAUUACGUAUGUCCACUAGUAUAUUUGCUACCUAGAUUCGUGCAACUACAAGGACAUAUUUAAAUUUUCAUAGAGCUAUUCGACAUAAAUUCUUUUUAAAAGAAAAUGUUGAGCUAACCAGUGCUAAAUUUUUUAUAAUCUCAACUCACAAAUACAUCCAUAACAUUAAACAGUUAAUUUCGUAUUAUUCUCAACUCAAAAGUAAAUCUAAAUCUAUCCAUAUCCAUGUGUGAAAAAAUAAAAAGGAAUAAAACCAACAGUCAAACAUUUAUCCAAUAUUAGAUGUCGCAGGGACAUAUAUGGUUCAAUUUCCUUGAAUGACUUUACAUCGAGAAUUAAUCUAAUUAAUAAGAAAGAAUUUGACAUAAAGGAUAUUUUCGUUUUAAAAACAUAAAAUAGCAAAAUUAAAAUUACUCUUAACUGAGAGAAAACCAACUAUUAAUUGUGAUGUGAAUAGUAUAUGUAUAUGCUUAUAAAUUUGGGAUAUAAAAUUUGUAUUCUAAAGUAUUUGUUACAUGGUGAUUGAUGUGUUAUUUAUUUAUUAGUACUGUAAUAUUAUCACAUUAAUAAUAAAAUAAAAAUAAACUAUAACAUUUAUUAAUUGGUAACAUGUCAUCUCAAAUACAAACUUUUUACAUGGAAGAAGUAUCAUUAUUAUUGUUAUUAUUAUUAUUUUUAAUGAUUAUUUUUAUGAUUUACCAACUCCAAACCGUAACUAAAACAAAAUCCAAGGGAACUCACAAGCUAGGGGACCCUUUAAUUUGUUGUAUCAAUUAGAGUGGUUGACGUUGACGUUGACGCACAGCGAUUGUUUCAAAAAAAUUAUACGAAAGCUCUAAGAACCUUAAUUAUAGUUGAAAAAAAUUCACUCCCCCAAUAAAUUAAUUAUGACCUCACUUAAGGAAAUACUCCGCGUAAGGAGAGAAUCGUAAGCAUCGAUCCUAUGUAAUUUAGCAAAAUUUUCAUACAUUGCGGCCAAAUAAUUUGUCAAAGGAAAAGGUGACAGCUGCGGCUUGAGAGAAGAAUAUGACAUGUAUGACACCAAUGACACAAUCAAAUGAUGGAUUGUGUCCAUUUUUAUUAUUGAUGAUUAAUUGUCAAUUCAUAUAAAAAUUGAUUUCCUCAAUUUUUAUUAAUUAAUCAUGAUCCUCAAAUUAUUUUAAUUAUAUUAUUUUUUUAUGUUUAAAAUACUUGUAUAUAUUGAGUCUUUUUGCCCAUAAAUGAAUGUCGUUUCUUAAAAGUUUUCAAUAUAUCUAUGUAUAUCUUUGUCUGGAUGCCUAGGUAGCUGCUCCAAUUCUGAAAUCAACGGCCAAAUCUCACAUCAAGGAAAUUCAGCUUGUCAAUAAUAAUAAUAUAAGCAUGAAGCUACGAUUUAAUGCAAGUUUAAUCACUGGAUGAUACAUUUAUGAUUUGAUGGAAAAAAUAUGGAUAGAGCAGAUACAUCCUCCUCAAAUUAGAGAGUAGAUAUAUAUUAAUAAAGAAAUAAAAAAUUUGGACUAUACUAUAAUGAAACCCCAUUUUCAUAUAUAUAUAGUAGAUAUAUAUAUUGGCACCCCUUCAAUCUCCUUAUGAAACCCCAUUUUUAGUUAUAUUUAUUUUAUUUUCGAAAAUGUCAUUUUUUUUUAAAUACACUUUUUAUUUUUCAUUUAAUUUUUUUUAUUGUUAAAACUCAAAGUAGCAUUGUGCUAUUUUUUUUAUUUCUUUUGCAAUCUUAUUUUUGCCUUACACAUAAAAUAAAAAAAAAAUUUGGAUGAUAAAUUUUUAAAUGUUAAUCAUUGACUUAAAUUAUAAAUAUUUUAAAUUAUAAUUUAAAAGCAAUUUUAAGUACAAAAAUAUUUAAUCAAUAAGAAAUAUGAAAAGAAUAAUAGACUAAUCUAAAUUUAUUUAAGUUAGAUAGGAAGUAACAGGUACAAAAUUAAAAAAAGAGGAUUGAUUAUGAAUAUAAGUAAUUUGUUGAAAAAAUUCUAUGUAAAUUUAAUUUACUGUAAUUCAUGUGAAGUUAAGUUUUUUAAGGAUAAUGAAAGGAUGCGAUAGCAUCACUCAUGAGUAAUUUUUUUAAAAGGACGAACAGAAACCUCGCCGACCCCAAGAGAUAAAGUGCUCAAGUAGGAAAUUUAUACCUCGCCGACCCCGAGAGACGAAACUUCCUCGCUGGGUAUGGAAAAUCCUCGCAGCAGUUUUUGACUAAGAUCAAGAUCGACUCCCACCCAAGAAUUAAUUAAAUAUAGAAUCUACAGUCCACAUAAUAAUUAAAUUAUAGCAAAAGUUAUGAUAAUUAAACUACCACUCAGAACUAUAUAUAAAAAAGUCACAAGAGCAUGUCUAGUAUUGCAUUGAUUCAUAGAAUCCGAAAACAAACAAUAAAGAAUGAUAUUAGAGAGAGAAUAAUCUCUGUUCCCUGAAAAUGAGGCUGGCUGAGACAAAACAUGAGCUUAGAGAACAUGGGAACCUUAAAAGAUCGACUCGCCAAUUCAGAGUUAGCAGAGUACUUAUAGCUGCAAAACGUGUGUCAUCUGUGAAUAAGAAGAAGAAACCAAUAACUCAAAGCUGUCCUCAGUGCCAUCUUGUUCAUCACCUGCAGAAGUAAGUAGUAUUGCAUGCGCUUGCUACUUUUAUCAAUUAAUUUUCAUCUGUUUCUGUUCUGUUGUUUAUUUAUGGGGAUUUUAUUUUAGUUUUAUUAGGGCAAAGAGUCAUGCACUCAAAGUAGUACGUACUAGGGCUUGAUUGGCUGAUUGCCAUCCUCACUUCAAAUCACAUAUUUAACUCGCAUGAUCAGCUCUUGAACUUUUCUAACCCACUCUUUAAGGUUUGCACGUAGAACUUUUCUUUUUUUCCAUUUUUAGGGAUUUGGUUGAGAGGUAGAGUUUCAGCUGCCCAUUUGCCCCAUGGCAUCUUUCUUAAGUUUUAGCAGUCCAUUUGUCCCAUAGCUUCUGUGUUAUUUUUUCAGCUGCCCACUCGGCCCAUGGCAUGCAUCUGCCUUAUUCCAUGAGAAUAAAAAGUAGAGUUUUAGCAAGUAAUAUAUAUACAUACGUACGUACGUACGUACAUACAUACAUACAUAUAUAUAUAUAUAUAAAUGUUCCAGUCCGGAAUUUUAAAGUGCGGAAACCUUUAAAACCGCAUGUUUUUAAAGGCUUAAACCGUAAGCCUUUAAAGUUGUGCUGUUUUAAAGUUUUUUCGGACUUUCACGUACUUUAAAAUACCUGACCCUGAAAACUACUAUAUAUAUAUAAUCAUUCUCUAAUGCGGACGCCCUCAUUUAUUUUUCAUGCGGAUACACUUUAAAAUCUCGUGGUUUAAAAGUGUAUCUGCAUUAAAAGAAAUGCGGGCAUCCACACUUAAGAAUGUAUAUAUAUAUAUAUAUAUAUAUAAAAGACGCUAACAAACACUUUUACAUCGCUAUAACAAGUUUUUACAAUGUUAUAAAUGUUUUUACAACGCUGUAAAAGUGAUUUGUAAUGUUAUAAAAUAGCAAGUUUGCACAAAAAUCUUGUGCACCCGAGCACGAUUUUAUAUUUGAUGUGAUGUUCAAUAGAUAGGUCUAAUUUGGAGUAAGUGAAGUGGGUGCAUUGGAAACUUCUAUAGAUAAAAUCAAGUUUAUUUUACAAAAAAUGAACAUCCGGUAUCAUAAAUUUGACAUGAAAAGCAAGCAAAGUUAUAUAAAUAGUCUGGGUUUGAACAUUCUUCUCGUCAUAUUGGCAGUAAUUCAACUGAGCAGCCAUUUGUUUCCUCUUCCCCUCGGCAUAUCAUCUUCCUACUCAUAAUACCAUUGCUGAUUGGGCUACUUCAAGUGGAUUAUCAGAACAAAAGUGUAUCUCCUUUUGAUACGCAUCCUGUAAAUAUGUGGAUUUCCUUUGGAGCAGCUUUCAUUUAUUGUUUGGGACUAGCCAUUAAUGUGGAAUCAAAAGAACACCAAGCAAGUUAUUCCCAAAUCACGAGCCAUGUAAUUCUCAGCUCAGGUGUUCUUGCUUCGGCCUCGCUAGCAUCAGUUUUCUUCCCACGCUUGCUUGGGUGGAUUUGUUUGACUUUAUGGACACUUUUGCCUAUUACGUUAGGCAGGCGCUUAAUCAAACCAAUGUACCAAUGGCUCAAAUAUGGAAUUUUGAAAUUAAUUUCCCAAGUCUACAGCAGAUUUAAUCGACUCUGGCGUAAUUGUGUUACCUUGAAGAACCAAAAUUUGCCCAUGUAGAUUUCUCAAUUGUUGUAAUUAUGAAUAAUAAUAGAUUAAUUGCUACAAUUACUAGAUAACACUUCUCUUGUGGUUACAUUGCAAAAGUCGGGGGACUUCGCAUUUCACGAAUCAACAACCCACACUACGUAAUUUUGUAGUUGGAAAGGGAGAUUAAAUUAAGCCUAUACCCCCUUAAUAAAUUAAUUAUGACCUCACGUAAGGAAAUAUUCCACGUAAGGAGUGAAUUGUAAGCAUCGAUCCCAUCUAACCGAGCAAAAUUUUCACACAUUGCGGCCAAAUAAUUUGUCAAAUAAAAAGGCGACAGAUGCGGCUUGAGAGAAGAAUAUGACAUAUAUGAUACCAAUCCAACAAUCAAACAAUGGAUUGUGUCCGUUUUAAAUAUUGAUCAUAAAAGAUUAAUUGUCAAUUAAUAAAAAAAUUAAUUAACUCAAUUUUUGUUAAUUAAUUAUGAUCCUCAAAUUCGUUUAAUUAUAUUAUUUUUUAUAUUUAAAACACUUAUAUAAAUUGAGUCUUUGCAGCAAAAAUUAAUAUCGUUUCUAAAUCGUUUUCAAUAUAUCUAAAUAUAUGUUCCUCAGAAAUGCAAAGUAGCUUGAGAGGCUUCAGUGCAUGGAAAAUCUAGUAAACACCAAGAUCAUAUAAUGUUGUUGCUCACUCUAUAGCAAAGGUUGCCUUAGAGAAGUGUAAAACUGUUGUAUGGGUAGAUUCGUACCCCUCAGAAGUUAUGGAAUUAUUUAACUCCUUGAAUGAAUGAAAACCACUUUUCUUCUCAAAAAAAAAAAUAUAUAUAUAUGUUCCUCACGACGCCUAGCUAGCUGCUCCAAUUCUGAAAUCAACGGCCAAAUGUCACAUCAAGGGAAAUUCAGCUUGUCAAUUAUAAUAUAGGCAUGAAGCUAUGAUUUGAUGCAAGUUCAAUCAUUGGAUGAUACAUUUAUGAUUUUAUGGACAAAAUAUGCAUAGAGCAGAUACAUCCUCCCCCAAAUUAGAGAGUAGAUAUAUAUUAAUAAAGAAAUAAAAAAAAUUUGGGUUAUACUAUAAUGAAAUUGAUCUAAGUUAAUUUUACUGUUAAUAUAAUUAAGUAGAUUUAUGAUUGUAAUUAGGAAACAUAUAAGUAUUGAGUUGGAUUGUAGGGGACCUCUUCAAUCUCCUCAUGAAACCUCAUUUUCAGUUAUUUAUUUUAUUUUUGAAAAUGUUCUUUUUUUUAAACACACUUUUAAUUUUUCAUUUAUAUUUUUUUAUUGUUAAAACUCAAAGUAGUAUUGUGUUACUUUUUAUUUUUUUUACAAUAUUAUUAUUACAAUACAAUUAAAUUAGAAAGUUUUUGGAUGAUGAAUUUUUGAAUGUUAAUUAUUGUCCGUUGACUUAAAUUAUACAUAUUUUAAGUACAAAAAUAUUUAAUCGAUAAGAAAACCGAUUAAUCUAAAUUUAUAUAAUUUAUUUUAAUUAGAUAAGAAGUAAUAGGUAGAAAAUUAAAAUAAAAAAGAAUUUAUUAUGAAUGUUAAUAAUUUGUUAGAAAAAAAAAUUUAUGUGAGUUCAAUUCUUAUGUGUCCUUCACUCUAAUUUAUAUGAAGUGGAAUCUUGUUAAGGAUAAUGAAAAGGUGCCAAUAGUGUCACUCAUAAGUUCUCUUUUUUCUUUUUUCUUUUUUUUUAAAAGAACGAACAAAACCUCGCCGACCUCGAGAGAGAAAGUGCCAAAGUUGUAAAUCCGAGAGAUCAGGCGCUCAAGUAAAAAGAUUAUAAAUUAAAAAAUACGAAACUUCCUCGCUAGGUAUGGAAAAUCCUGGCAGCAGCUUUUGACUAGGAUAAAAAUCGGCUCCCACUCAAGAAUUAAUUCAAUAAUGAUAUAGCACAUAUUUUUUAAAAAACUUAUCUUAUACAAAUUGAUGUGACAUGAUAAAAUUGAUUGAAUUAAAUAUCUCUUGUCUUAUAUCAUUUAUUUUUAUUAUUUUGUAUUUUCAUUCAAUCAAUUAAUUAAUGCCACACAUUUUGUACAAGAUAAGUUUGUUUGUAUUAUCACUUGAAUUAAUUAAAUACAAAAUCAACAUUCUAUAUAAUAAAUAAAUAAAUAGCAAAAGUUAUAAUUAAACUAACACUUAGAGCUAUAUAUAUAAAAAAAGUCACAACAACAUGUCUAGUGUUGCAUUGAUUCAUAUAAUCCGAAAACAAAUAAUAACAGAGGAUAUUAUGGAGAGAGUAAUCUCUGUUCCCUGAAAAUGAGGCUGGCUGAGACAAAACAUGAGCUUAGAGAACAUGGGAACCUUAAAAGAUCGACUCGCCAAUUCAGAGUUAGCAGAGUACCUAUAGCUGCAAAACGUGUGUCGUCUGUGAAUAAGAAGAAGAAACCAAUAACGCAAAGAUGUCCGCAGUGCCAUCUUAUUCAUCACCUGGAGAAGUAAGUAAUAUUGCAUGCACUUGCUACUUUUAUCAAUUAAUUUUCAUCUGUUUCUGUUUUGUUGUUUAUUUAUGGAGGAUAUUAUUUUAGUUUAAUUAGGCCAAAGAGUCAUGCACUCGAAGUACUACGUACUAGGGAUUGACUGCCAUCCUCACUUCAAAUCACAUGUCUAACUCUCAUGAUUAGCUCUUGGACUUUUCUGACCCGCUCUUUAAGGUUUGCACGUAGCUUUUCUCCCAUGAGCUUUUCUGUUUUCUAUUUUUAGGGAUCUGGUUGAGAGUUAGAGAUUCAGCUGCCCAUGGAUUCUGUGUUAUUUUUUACUCGCCCCAUAUAAUGCAUCUGCCUCAUUCCAUGAGAAUAAAAAGAAGAGUCUUACUAUUAUUAGUUUAUUAUUAUUAAAUAUGAACUUAAAUUUUAAAUUUUUUAUUCUAUUAAAUUUGAAUAAAGACACAUAAACUUAAAAAAAAAUACAUAGACUUGAAAAAAGUACGAUAAUAGCUUCGUAUGAACUCUUAAAAAAUUAAAAAAAAAAUUAUUGGACUUUCUCUCUUAGGCAUGGCACGACAUGACCCACAGCACGACACACGUGGCGGAUCGGGCCUAAGAAAAAAAAUUAGACACGGCACAACACAGCACAAAACACAUAGUGAGCACGGCAUGAUACAGGCACGAGCACGCAUGGGUCUUACGUUGGCCAUCUCUAUGCGCACCUGAGCAUAAUUUUAUAUUUGAUGUGAUGUUCAAUAGAUAGGUACACUUUGGAGUAAGAGAAGUGAGUGCAUUGAAAACUUCUAUAAAUAAAAUCAAGUUUAUCUGACAAAAAAUGAAGAUCCCGUAUCAUAAAUUUGAUAUGACAAACAAGCACAGUUAUAUAAAUAGUCUGGAUUUGAACAUUCUUCUCGUCAUAUUGGCAGUAAUUCAACUGGGCAGUCAUUUGUUUCCUCUUCCCCACGGCAUAUCAUCUUCCUACUCAUAAUACCAUUGUUGAUUGGGCUACUGCAAGUGGAUUAUCAGAACAAAAGUGUAUCUCCUUUUGAUACACACGCUGUAAAUAUGUGGGUUUUCUUUGGAGCAGCUUUCGUUUAUUGUUUGGGACUAGCCAUUAAUGUGGAAUCAAAAGAACACCAAGCAAGUUAUUCCCAAAUCACGAGCCAUGUAAUUCUCAGCUCAGGUGCUCUUGCUUCGGCCUCGCUAGCAUCAGUUUUCUUCCCAAGCUUGCUUGGGUGGAUUUGUUUGGCCUUUUGGACACUUGUGCCUAUUACGUUAGGCAGGCGCUCAAUCAAACCAAUUUACCAAUGGCUCAAAUAUGGAAUUUUGGAAUUAGUUUCCCAAGUCUACAACAGAUUUAAUCGAUUCUGGCGUAAUUGUGUCACCAUGAAGAACCAAAACUUGCCCAUGUAAAUUUCUCAAAUGUUGUAAUUAUGAAUAAUAAUAGAUUAAUUGCUACAAUUACUAGAUAAUACUUCUCUUGUAGUUACAUUGCUCACGAAUCAACAAUCCACACUGUAAUAUUGUAGAUGGGAGGGGAGGUUAAAUUAAGCCUAUACCUCCCUAACAAAACUGACCCCAAGGUAUUUUUAUACAAAACAUUAAAUUUUCUUCAUACUUUUCUAACGUUAAUCACCAUAAAUCCCUUUGACGUGGCACUAGAUCAUUGAUUCAUUAAUGGGAAAAUCACUGUAUGCAUAGAACUAUGUUAAUACUAAUACAUAAACGUACGUUACUGGGGUACAUUUUUUGUUUUAUCAAGGGACGUAUUAUCUAUAAAUUGAUAUGUUUUACGUGUUGUUGACUUGAUUUUCUAUUACUAAUUAAAAUAUUAAAUCACAUGUACAAAAAGUGAAAAUGACAAUCCCAGCCAACUGGCGCUCAGUCAGCUCAUAGGAGUGACAACUGCUCCUCUUAGCGGUUAUACCUGGUCCCCUCGCCGACACAAAAAGUUAACUUUCCAAAUUGAUGUACUCCGAAAAGCAAGUAUUAACAAGAAAUCCAAUACUUAAUAAAAUAUAAUCGAAAUCAUGGUCGUUGAAAAGAUAAGUACACGCAUCAAGUUAUUUUUUUUUAUUACACGAGACUAUUGUUUAAAAAUAUAAUU